UACGUAGGGUCCAAGCGUUAUCCGGAAUCACUGGGCGUAAAGCGUGCGUAGGCGGUUUGUUAAGUGAGAUGUGAAAUCGUGUGGCUCAACCAUAUCGUUGUGUCUCAUACUGGCAAACUAGAGGAUAGCAGAGGCAAGUGGAAUUACGAGUGUAGCAGUGAAAUGCGUAGAGAUUCGUAGGAACACCAAUGGCGAAGGCAGCUUGCUGGGCUAUUCUGACGCUCAGGCACGAAAGCGUGGGGAGCGAACAGG
rnacentral:rRNA from 1 species